rnacentral:siRNA from 1 species
AUCAUGGGGAUCUAUUUGGCCG